GAUGAAGAACGUAGCGAAAUGCGAUAAGUAAUGUGAAUUGCAGAAUUCAGUGAAUCAUCGAAUCUUUGAACGCACAUUGCGCCCGCCAGUAUUCUGGCGGGCAUGCCUGUCUGAGCGUCAUUUCAACCCUCAUGUCCCUAGGGCGUGGUGUUGGGGAUCGGCCAAAGCCCGCGAGGGACGGCCGGCCCCUAAAUCUAGUGGCGGACCCGUCGUGGCCUCCUCUGCGAAGUAGUGAUAUUCCGCAUCGGAGAGCGAUGAGCCCCUGCCGUUAAACCCCCAACUUUCCAAGGUUGACCUCAGAUCAGGUAGGAAUACCCGCUGAACUUAAGCAUAUCAAUAAGCGGAGA
rnacentral:misc_RNA from 1 species